ACUCGUAGACUCCUACGGGAGGCAGCAGUGGGAAUCUUGGACAAGUGGGGCAACCCUGAUCCAGCCAUGCCGCGUGAGUGAUGAAGGCCUUAGGGUCGUAAAGCUCUUUCGCCUGUGAUGAUAAUGACAGUAGCAGGUAAAGAAACCCCGGCUAACUCCGUGCCAGCAGCCGCGGUAAUNGCGGNGGGGUUAGCGUUGUUCGGAAUUACUGGGCGUAAAGCGCGCGUAGGCGGAUUAGUCAGUUAGAGGUGAAAUCCCAGGGCUCAACCCUGGAACUGCCUUUAAUACUGCUAGUCUUGAGUUCGAGAGAGGUGAGUGGAAUUCCGAGUGUAGAGGUGAAAUUCGUAGAUAUUCGGAGGAACACCAGUGGCGAAGGCGGCUCACUGGCUCGAUACUGACGCUGAGGUGCGAAAGUGUGGGGAGCAAACAGGAUUAGAUACCCUGGUAG
rnacentral:rRNA from 1 species